GACGAACGCUGGCGGCGUGCUUAACACAUGCAAGUCGAGCGGAAAGGCCCUUUCGGGGGUACUCGAGCGGCGAACGGGUGAGUAACACGUGAGUAAUCUGCCCAUGGCUUUGGGAUAACCACCGGAAACGGUGGCUAAUACCGGAUACGACCACUCCCGGCAUCGGGUGGUGGUGGAAAGUUUUUUCGGCCAGGGAUGUGCUCGCGGCCUAUCAGCUUGUGGGUGGGGUAAUGGCCUACCAAGGCUUCGACGGGUAGCCGGCCUGAGAGGGUGACCGGCCACACUGGGACUGAGACACGGCCCAGACUCCUACGGGAGGCAGCAGUGGGGAAUAUUGGACAAUGGGCGGAAGCCUGAUCAGCAACGCCGCGUGAGGGAUGACGGCCUUCGGGUUGUAAACCUCUUUCAGAACCGACGAAGCGCCGAUGAUGGCGGUGACGGUAGGUACAGAAGAAGUACCGGCCAACUACGUGCCAGCAGCCGCCGUAA
rnacentral:rRNA from 1 species